rnacentral:rRNA from 1 species
AUUAAAGUAACAAAGGGCACACAAGGGAUGCCUAGGUAGAAAGAGCCGAAGAAGGACGUGGUAAGCUGCGAUAAGCUUGGCGAAGUUGCAAACGAACGUGGAUGCCAAGAUUUCCGAAUGGAGCAAUCUGUAAAGAGUCAUGUCUUUACACGAAAGAGGGAACCGGGUGAACUGAAACAUCUAAGUAAUCCGAGGAAAAGAAAGUAACAACGAUACCCUAAGUAGCGGCGAGCGAACGGGGUAGAGCCUAAACCGUAUUCAUGUCAAGGAUGCAGCCGUUGUGGAUACGGGGUAGCGGGAAAGAGAGAGAAAGAACUGCAAGCUAUUUCGCAGACGUAAGCAAAGGAACAAGAAAGAUCUGGAAAGGUCUACCGUAGAAGGUGAAAGUCCUGUAUUGGUAGUUUUCUUGCGCUGUAUCUCUUCUCCCAAGUAAUGUGGAACACGAGGAAUUCUGCAUGAAUCUGCGAGGACCAAAUCUCGUAAGGCUAAAUACUCUUUCUAACCGAUAGCGCAUAGUACCGUGAGGGAAAGGUGAAAAGAACCCCGGGAGGGGAGUGAAAGAGAACCUGAAAUUGUGUGCUUACAAGCGGUCAGAGCCACUUCGGUGGUGAUGGCGUGCCUUUUGGAGAAUGAUCCUGCGAGUUACGUUUCAUGGCGAGGUUAAGAAGAACGGAGCCGAAGGGAAACCGAGUCUGAAUAGGGCGCAAGAGUCGUGGAGCGUAGACGCGAAACCCGGUGAUCUAAGCCUGUCCAGGAUGAAGCUGUGGUAAGACACAGUGGAGGUCCUAACCCACCGCCGUUGAAAAGUUGGGGGAUGAGGUAGGUUUAGGGGUGAAAAGCCAAUCGAACCGGGAGAUAGCUCGUUCUCUCCGAAAUGCAUCUAGGUGCAGCCUUGCGUGUUUAAUGAUGGGGGUAGAGCACUGACUGAACUAGGGGGCAUAUAGCUUACUGAAUUCAAUCAAACUCCGAAUACCAUUAUUCAAGAGCGCAGGAGUGAGACCAUGGGAGUUAACUUCCAUCGUCGAAAGGGAAACAACCCAGACCACCGGCUAAGGUCCCAAAUCAUAUCUAAGUGGGAAAGGAGGUGGAGAUUCUUAAACAACUAGGAGGUUGGCUUAGAAGCAGCCAUUCCUUGAAAGAGUGCGUAAUAGCUCACUAGUCGAGAGUCUCUGCGC